UUUCCGGUUGAUCCUGCCGGAGGCCACUGCUAUUGGGGUUCGACUAAGCCAUGCGAGUCUAUGGACUUCGGUCCACGGCGGACGGCUCAGUAACACGUGGCUAACCUACCCUCAGGUGGGGGAUAACCUCGGGAAACUGAGGGUAAUACCCCAUAGGGGAAGAGGUCUGGAAUGAUCCUUCCUUGAAAGGACAUCCGCCUGAGGAUGGGGCUGCGUCCGAUUAGGUAGUUGGUGGGGUAAUGGCCCACCAAGCCUACGACCGGUACGGGCCUUGAGAGAGGAAGCCCGGAGAUGGGGACUGAGACACGGCCCCAGGCCCUACGGGGCGCAGCAGGCGCGAAACCUCCACAAUGCACGAAAGUGCGAUGGGGGAACCCCAAGUGCCUAUGCACAGCAUAGGCUUUUCCCAAGUGUAAACAGCUUGGGGAAUAAGGGCUGGGCAAGUCCGGUGCCAGCAGCCGCGGUAACACCGGCGGCCCGAGUGGUGGCCACUCUUAUUGGGCCUAGAGCGUCCGUAGCCGGUCCAGUAAGUCCCUGUUUAAAUCCUACGGCUCAACCGUAGGGCUGGCAGGGAUACU
rnacentral:rRNA from 1 species